rnacentral:tRNA from 1 species
GAAGUUUAGGUUAAACAAACCAAGGACCUUCAAAGCCCUAAACAGGGAACUACCCCUAACUUCUG